UACGUAGGGUGCGAGCGUUGUCCGGAAUUAUUGGGCGUAAAGAGCUCGUAGGCGGUCUGUCGCGUCGAUCGUGAAAACUUGGGGCUUAACCCUGAGCUUGCGGUCGAUACGGGCAUGACUGGAGUUCGGCAGGGGAGACUGGAAUUCCUGGUGUAGCGGUGAAAUGCGCAGAUAUCAGGAGGAACACCGGUGGCGAAGGCGGCUCUCUGGAACGCAACUGACGCUGAGACGCGAAAGCGUGGGGAGCAAACAGG
rnacentral:rRNA from 1 species